GGGCCCGCACAAGCAGUGGAGCAUGUGGUUUAAUUCGAUGCAACGCGAAGAACCUUACCAGGCCUUGACAUCCUCGGAACUUUCUAGAGAUAGAUUGGUGCCUUCGGGAACUGAGUGACAGGUGCUGCAUGGCUGUCGUCAGCUCGUGUCGUGAGAUGUUGGGUUAAGUCCCGUAACGAGCGCAACCCUUGUCCUUAGUUGCCAGCACAUUAUGGUGGGAACUCAUGGGAUACUGCCGGGGUCAACUCGGAGGAAGGUGGGGAUGACGUCAAAUCAUCAUGCCCCUUAUGUCUUGGGCUUCACGCAUGCUACAAUGGCCGGUACAGAGGGCUGCCAAGCCGCGAGGUGGAGCCAAUCCCAGAAAGCCGAUCGUAGUCCGGAUCGUAGUCUGCAACUCGACUACGUG
rnacentral:rRNA from 1 species